AAACCGAGGGCCAGACAUGUUACUCUCUCACCGUCACCUGUAGGGCCCUACAUUUAGUCUCUGGCGAAUAAAGAGGCCUUGGGUCGUCCUAGGAGGCCAGUUGUCUCCUUCAUCAGAUGCUCCCUAUUCAGUCCAGGCUCGGUGAAUAGAAGCCCAGUACAGCCCCUUAAAAACCACCGUGACGGGCCUUGGAAACUGCCUCCUGGACUCGGGCCGGGAGGAAGGCCUCGCUCCCAGAGAACACGAAAACGAUGGGCAACAGAGAAGGGGAAACAUUUGCAGAAGAGUAAUGACCUUACCAAAUUAAAUGUCUUGCUUUUUUAUGCCAA